rnacentral:rRNA from 1 species
AUGACCCUAUGCCUUCUGGGCUGGGCUGACUACAUGGGUCGGCUACAUCAGCAUGAUAUGGCUGAAGGAACUGCUCCUCGGAAGAGGAAUUAUGUCACAUGGGGUGAUGAGAUGGACGCUGCAAUGGUUGAGGUACUUGUUCAUCAUUACAACAUGGGUGAUCAUUCACAAAAUGGAUGGAAAGCACAUGUGUACAUUACAGCUAUCAAGAAUGUGAAGGAUAUCGCGAAGGAGAACAUAUUAGGAAGGUUUAGGACUUUCGACAAGUAA